rnacentral:rRNA from 1 species
AUACGGAGGGUGCAGGCGUUACUCGGAAUCACUGGGCGUAAAGCGCGCGCAGGCGGUCUUUUAAGUUGGAUGUGAAAGCCUACGGCUCAACCGUAGAACUGCAUCCAAAACUAUUAGACUAGAGUGUGGGAGAGGAAGAUGGAAUUAGUUGUGUAGGGGUAAAAUCCGUAGAGAUAACUAGGAAUACCAAAAGCGAAGGCAAUCUUCUGGAACACUACUGACGCUGAGGCGCGAAAGCGUGGGGAGCAAACAGGAUUAGAAACCCUAGUAGUCC